AACAUCUAAAUCUUCGUUCACUUGGAAAACAAAAUUAAAAUUCUUCUCCUGAAAUCAACAACCUGAAUCUAACCACAUAUAAUCUUUUUUAUGUUUCAUGUUACCACAACCCCCUAAAAAAAAAAUCGCAAGAAAAUUCUAUCCAUUCUACCUCGAACCGGAAUUCGAAAAGUGAUUUGCCAGACUUCUCUACCGAUCCACUCAUCCUUCCAAGCGGAAGAAGAAGAAGAAGAAGAGAAAGAAGACGGAAGAAGGAGACAGGCAGAUUAAAACCACGAAGGAAGGAGAAAGAGAGAAAAGGAGAAGCGCGACAAACAGACGAGAGAGAACGGGUUGGUGGAGAGCGAGCUAGGAAGACGGCUCGCCUGGCUUUAUUAAAAUAUAAUGGCGUUAUCAGCCGAGAAGAGAACGAAGGGAGAGGCGUCAGCUUUAAGAGGGAAGUUUUCUUAAGUGUUCUUAAUUAGAAGGGACCUGUUGCUUCGGAAAAAACCGGGUCACGGCCGACGACGCCCUCCCCCCCUCUGUUCCUCCUACGCGACGCCCCCUCAGACGCUGCAGACUCGGCCGCCGCAGCACCAGACUCGGGCGACGCGUGCGGCAGAAAGCGACGAGCAGAACGCGUCGGGGAGGUUGAAGAAGGGAAUUCUCUGAGGGUUGGAGAUGACGUUUAACGGAUAAGGAUGGUCGCGGAACGAAGCCAGCAUCCAGGUCUAAGGAGCCACGAGGAUUCAUUAGAGGGAGGGAGGAAGGAAGGUGUUCAUCGAACCCCCAUAGAUGCGCUGUCUAAGGUCGAGUCUUCCACUUUCGGUUCUCGAGCAGCACAACACAUUUAGUCCAUCACGAAGCAUGUAGACCGUGUGCAAACGAUUAACAAGGUUGGAGAGAACCCUAUCCCCCUUUGAGGCGGACGCAAAGUUUACUUUAGAGGGGUGAAACGAAACGCGCGCGAAAAAAUUCUGCGAAGAGGUCAGUCUUCAGCAAACGGAACGAGAGGUUCACCUGGGCUAAAGAUGGCGGAUAUCGUUUUUCAUUUUUAUGACGAUGUCUUUGAACGAGAUACCUUAGACAUUUUAGAGAUGCUCAAUAUAGUUUCGAUCGAUUUUAUGAAUCGUAGGAAUUUUAAAAAUAUUAAAAAUUCGUAGAUUCUUUAAG